AUUGAACGCUGGCGGCAGGCCUAACACAUGCAAGUCGAACGAGUGGCGGACGGGUGAGUAAUGUCUGGGAAACUGCCUGAUGGAGGGGGAUAACUACUGGAAACGGUAGCUAAUACCGCAUACCAGCGGAUGUGCCAAGAUGGGAUUAGCUAGUAGGUGGGGGAAAGGCUCACCUAGGCGACGAUCCCUAGCUGGUCUGAGAGGAUGACCAGCCACACUGGAACUGAGACACGGUCCAGACUCCUACGGGAGGCAGCAGUGGGGAAUAUUGCACAAUGGGCGCAAGCCUGAUGCAGCCAUGCCGCGUGUAUGAAGAAGGCCUUCGGGUUGUAAAGUACUUUCAGCGGGGAGGCGUUACCCGCAGAAGAAGCACCGGCUAACUCCGUGCCAGCAGCCGCGGUAAUAC
rnacentral:rRNA from 1 species